rnacentral:lncRNA from 1 species
AUGACUCUUAUAGAACCGGCGGAUCCGCGGCGUUGGAUGCCCAGGGAGCCCGACACAAAGGGCGCAAGUUGCAGUGAUUCACCCAGGCGCCAGCGAGGACGAGGAGAGCAGGGGCCGCAGGGCUGGAACACCUCUUCCGGGCUGACGACAGGUACCAGCCAGGCGUCGUCAGGGUCCAGUGAGCGUUGGGGAAUAACGAGGCUAGUCAUGGCUCCAAUCUCAAUCCAAGAAGGCGUAGAAAAGCACACGAGACAGGCCUUCAGCCUCACCAGCUGGCUGCUGUGUUUUCCCUGGCGGCAGGGGCGCCGAGAAUUUGGGACUGGAGCGCGGCACAGAUAUUAACCAGGAGCAGCCUUAAAUCAAGCUGGAUCAACAUGGCUCUUAUUCUGGCUCUCUUCCUGCCUGGGGCGGUCCAAGCAGUCAGCUUGGAUGGUUGAAAGAUGCCAUGGCCUGUGAUGGUCCCAAAGUCUGCUGCUCUUAAUCCAAAUCACCUGCUUUCUUCUCCAACAAUGAUGACUGCAUUUCUACAAAAAUGGUAGCAUAAUUUGGAGGAGCUAGCGGCUGCUGCAUCUUCAUGCGCC